GAUGAACGCUGGCGGUGUGCCUUAUACAUGCAUGUCGAACGAGGCGUAGCAAUACGUCUAGUGGCAAAAUGGGUGAGUAAUAAAUAGGUAACCAACCCUUAAGACGGGGAUACCCCAUCGAAAGAUGGAAUAAUACCCGAUAAUGUCCCUUCCGGUGCGCUGGAGGGGAAGAAAGAUGGCGCAAGCUAUCACUUUUGGACGGGCUUAUUUCCUAUCAGCUAGUUGGUGAGGUAACGGCUUACCAAGGCUACGACGGGUAGCUGGUCUGAGAGGACGGUCAGCCACAUUGGGACUGCGACACGGCCCAGACUCCUACGGGAGGCAGCAGUCGGGAAUAUUCGGCCAAUGCGCGAAAGCGUGACCGAGCGACACCGCGUGGGCGACGAAGAUCUUAGGAUUGUAAAGCCCUUUUGCCAGGGAAGAAUACGCUGGAGACAAUAUCAAUAGCGUUUGACGGUACCUGGCGAAUAAGCCGCAGCAAACUACGUG
rnacentral:rRNA from 1 species